CAGGCACUUAAUCAGAUAGAUAGCCCCAUCAAGUUUACGUCUAACAUCAGUUCUACAGCGGUACAAUUACUGGAUUUAGAAAUAGCCAUUACAAAUCAGGGCUUAUCAUAUUGUCUUUAUGGGAAACCUACUGACAGGAAUACCAUUCUACAUAACACCAGCGCACACCCGGUGGCAUUGAAGAGGUCUUUACCUAAAGCCCAGUUUUUGAGAGUGAUUCGGAAUAACUCAGAUAUUAACAUCAUGGAGAAACAACUUGAAGAAAUGGUGGAGAGAUUUCUUGAGUGUGGCUACCGAUGAAAUGACCUAGUGAGAGCAUUAGAAGAAGCUAAGUCAGCCAAUUCUCCUAGAGCCAAAGAAGGAGCCCCAAGACUGGUCUUUCCAAU